rnacentral:rRNA from 1 species
UACCUGGUUGAUCCUGCCAGUAGUCAUAUGCUUGUCUCAAAGAUAAGCCAUGGCUGGGGUAAUAUGAACUUAUUUCGAAUGGGGAA